UCCUGUAGGUAGGGAAUGGUUGCUAGCUCUGCCAUUGCUUGAUUAAUCACCUGGGACUGCUCCUUUACUCUCUGCAGCUGGCUGAGGAGGCUGGCAUAUUGCAACUUCUCCAUCACACCUGAGGAUGCAGGAAAACUCCCCUAGUCUCAAAGUAAAAGAAAUGUUUUAGAACAAAACCACGGAAAUAGACCUCUCCCCAGGGCUGGAAGUCAGGGCUUGUGAUAACGUAUUUACAUCUUUUGAAAUAACGGAAUCUAGUACAAAUACAUGUUUCCUUCUACCAUUUUACAGAAUUGUCUUAUACCUCUUUUUCUAGUAGGUAAAUAUACAUAAAAGGGAGUCCUUUGGAGAACUGUUGAGACGGAUUUGCUGAUUGUCUUGCAUUAGGGAGCUAGGCUGAGGGGAAAAGAGGGGACUAAAUUUGAAUCUGCACUUCACUCACCCAGGAGUGAUCCCACAGAGCUGUGUCUGCCUAGAAGGGGCGACUUUAUCUAUAUCACCAAAGCAUCAUAAAAGGAAUGAAUGGCAGUAUCAUCAG
rnacentral:lncRNA from 10 species